UAAGUCGCCCUUUUCGGGGUUUUACUUAGCAAGUUGUUCUUUUCUUUUUUUAGGCGAAGUAUGUUUUGACUGCAUCAACAUUCACAAGACGCGUGAACUAUUCACCAUCCAUAGUUGUAGGGAUCAAAGUGUAAGACCUCAAUUUUGACCCCAAGAUCCCUCAUACUAUUCUCAUCACAUGCAUUAACAUUGGGAUCACACGUUGGCA
rnacentral:lncRNA from 1 species